CAUGAACAGCAAAAUUUAUUGGGUGAAGAGGGACUGGAAGUGGGAAGUAGUCAUACAGAAACCAGUAAGGAAAAACUGCAGAACGAGAUGCAGUCCGAGAACUCGAUGGAUUCUUCUAGGUGGAUGGAGACAUGAAAAAUUUGGAAACCUUGGGCACUACCUUGAGAACAUUAAGCCCAUCGGCGCCCACGGAGAAUAACUCCAGCUCCUUUUUCUCCGCGGCAUCCAUGGGGCCUUAUUUGCAUGGCCAGGUUGGCGGCUGCUUCUGCUGGGUCUGGUGACAGACUGGGACGCCCUUGCCACCCCCAGAGCCGCCGCCAGAGCCACCUCCGCAGCUCGAGCCGCCGCCGCCCCCGGAGGAGCCCCCACCACAGCUCGAGCCACCUCCGGAGGAGCCGACGGCGUAGCUCUGGCACUGGUAGUGCUGGCCAGAGGAGCCCCCGCCGCAGCUGGAGCCGCCACCUCCGGAGCCACCGCCGCAACCAGAACCGCCCCCGGAGGAGCCGCCGUAGCUCUGGCACUGGUAACUCUGGCCGGAGGAGCCGCCGCCGCAGCUAGAGCCGCCACCGGAGUAGCCGCCUCCGCAACCGGAACCGCCGCCGGAGGAGCCACCGCCGGAGCUCUGGCAUUGGUAGACCUGGCCGGAAGAGCCGCCGCCGCCGCAGCUGGAGCCGCCCCCGCCCCCGGAGCCGCCGCCACAGCUGGAGCCACCGCCUGAGGAGUAGCAGAUGUCGCCCCCGGAAGAGCCGCUGCCGUAGGUCUGGUAACACUGGCCGGAAGAGCCGCCGCCACAGCUGGAGCCGCCCCCGCCCCCGGAGCCGCCGCCACAGCUGGAGCCACCGCCUGAGGAGUAGCAGAUGUCGCCCCCGGAAGAGCCGCUGCCGUAGGUCUGGUAACACUGGCCGGAAGAGCCGCCGCCACAGCUGGAGCCGCCACCGCCCCCGGAGCCGCCGCCGCAGUCGGAGCCGCCGCCGCCCGAGUAGCCACAGCUGCCGCCCCCGGAGGAGCCGCCGCCGCCACUUGAGUACUUAACUCCUCCUCCGGAGCCACCGCCGCCUCCGCAGCCGGAGCCGCCGCCGCCGGAGUAGCCGACCACGCAGCUGGAGCCGCCCCCGCCGCCACCUGAGUACUUGACGGCUCCUCCGGAGCCACCGCCGCCUCCGCAGCCCGAGCCGCCGCCGCUGGAGUAGCAGCCCCCACAGCUAGAGCCUCCGCCUCCACCGCCGCCGCAGCUGGAGCCACCGCCGCCAGAGUACUUGACGCCUCCUCCGGAGCCACCGCCGCCCCCGCAGCUGGAGCCGCCGCCGCCGCCGCCGCCACCUGAGUACUUGAUGGCUCCUCCGGAGCCCCCGCCGCCCCCCCGCAGCUAGAGCCUCCGCCUCCACCGCCGCCGCAGCCGGAGCCACCGCCGCCUCCACCGCCAGAGGUCUUGCAAACCACUGGAGGGUAGGGGGUGGGCUGCUUUUUCUGGUGAGACAUCUUGUCUAAGGAGGAAGGAGACCCUGAAAAGAGAGCGGAAAAGCAUCACUGGACCAGCCGCAAGAGGGUGCUGCGAUAGUAAAAUCCUCCCUGCUCGGAGUGCAGCCUGCUGGGUUAGGCGCCAAGGUCUUUUCAGGAGCGCCAACUCAGCUGGGAUUGCUACUUUUGGAAAGGAGUCGAUUCCUCUCUCAGAAAAUCCUGGCCAAGUUGAAAUACCCGAGUGGAUGGAACCAACCCUCUCUCCAAGCUGUUUGACCUCAGUGGUGCUUUUAGGGCAGAUCACCCACUUUGGUAGUUUGAACACUUGUUUCUUAGGCCUCUUCCAGUCCCAACACUAAUUCUCCGAGUUCAAAUAGAAAAUUAUCACAAAUCUCUACUUAGCAUGGGGGAUUUUGCCAUUUCUAGCACAAUCUAGGGAGGUUUGUUGGGAUAGCAGAGGACUAUUACAUCUCUUCUUUUUUUUUUUUGCAAAAUCUUGAGUUCAAACUCUUUCCGUGUCCCACAGAGUGAAGCUAUGACUCAAUGGUUAGUUAUUAAUAAAGACAAGGUCUUCCUUGGCCUUUUCUUGGCACAGGGAGAAGGACUCAGAUGGUUCUUUGGGCCAGCACCUCCUACCAGAUUUCUGUAUAUCAGAUAUCUCUUUUGUGAUAUGCUGAAGCUUGGUAGAGGGAACUAUAACUAAUAGGAAGUUGAAUCCUAGCCCCUUGCAAGUCAUUUCUCAUUCACACUGUCUGCAGAAUUUGGCUUUUUGUGGCUCCUAAAAUACCUCUCCUCUGCAACAUUCUCUGAAUCAUUCUCAGUAUUCUCUAACCCUUGGCUUAGCUCCUCCUGACAGUUUUAUGAGGUCAGCCAGCCCAUGUACUGCAAGGGCUGCCUUGGACAGCCACUGCAGCAUUCCUGUGUCUAGCAGAAUUACACCCCCUACAGGUGUGCUAGAGAGGUAGGAAACAAUCUUGGGUUGGUAGAGUUUACAUUCUGGGCAGAAGACCAAGCAACUCUGCACCCCAUCCCUUUCCUGACUCCCCUCUUAGUAUGAGUGCAGUACAGAGGGAAGAUAGAUGUCCUCUAACUUCUACAGGUGAGAGAGACCCCCCAUGCACUGAAAGCCAGCUGAGAAGAUGAGAGCCAGUAAAUCCCCACUUACCCAAAACACCAGGGAGGGUGAGUGAGGAGAGGAGAUGCUGGUGAUGUGAGAAGCACUGGAACUGAUGAGGUUUUAUACUCUACCUGUCCUGACUCAUCUAUUGAUCAGGCCAGCCUCUUGUGUUUGAGCUUGCUCACGUGACCCAUAGCUGUCAGCCCCACCUCCAUGAGAUUACAUGCACAGGUUGGCCCAUUCAUGAAGAUUUUGGCAUUCUUGAGAUGGGCAGCUUAGUGUAUGACUGGCUUCUUCUCUGAUGCAACUGUGGAGCAGGCUGGUCAGUUGGGAUGGCCAGCCAGAGUGGAUGGCAGACAUUGUUUCCAGAACCUCUGGCAUGGGGCACAUGCCAUAACUAGCAUAGGUCCCAGAUGUGUGAGGCAGCCUAUGAGAAUCAAACUAGAGAUCUCAGUCCUUGGUCCAAGGAGUAAGACUUUUCAAACCCCACUGUAUGGCUUCUGAUCUUAUUGGUCUGGAAACCUUGAAACUUUAGAAUCUGUUCCUCUUUUGCCAAAACUUCUCUCCUGGGUUUCAUGAGAGCUUUACUGGAAUGUUUCUGUUCUGCCCACUGGGUGGCAAGGGUCCAUGAGCCCCAGCUCCCAGUUCUGGACUGCACGUCAUGGACAGCGCUGUAACUAAGAUGACACCCGGGCCUACUUCAAAUUGUCCGUGGAGAUAGCAAGCAUAGGAUCCAGUAUUGACUUUCUUUUCAGAGGUGUGCACUAAAGAGGUGGACCAUGUAGUCCUUUCUGCCAUGGCCCUUUGACUUCAGUGUCUUGUGGCAAUGCUGAUGUCAGCCAGGGGGCCAGCCAUGGAAUGCAAUAGACUUGAGGUUACAUGACUGGGUUUGGGUUCUCCCUUUGCUAGUCAGCUGUGUCACUUUGGGCUAGCUCUUUAUACAGUGCCUGCACAUAGGCACUGGACAAGUAUUUGUUGAUUGUUGAAUGGUCAAGCUUUGUGACCGUCAGUUUGUUGUCUACUAAGUAGGAAUAGUAGCUCCUAUUUUGCAGGCAUGUGGAGAGGGGAUGGUUCUUUAAUGUGUAGAAGGCGACACUGUCUUCUGUUGUUGUGUCACAUAACAGCACAUCCUUACUUUCACCCUCACUUGCCCUUGGAUACGAAAGCCCAGAAGGAGUCCAUGAAUGGUUUGAGACAAGCUCAAGUCUUCUCCUAGGAGAUUAACUCAAGACUUCUCUGUUGACUGCGCUGGCAGCAUCACUUCUGUGUCUGUAGAGCAGCAAGCUCUCCCUUCUUUCGUCAUUGGAACUCAGUUAUUAUUUAAGAUAUCACAUUCAAACUUUAUUCCACCCAGCUGUUGAAACAACUGCUCCAAUAAGAAAUGGACUUCAUUAUGGUGGAGUUUUAAUGAUCCAAAUGAUCCUGAUUAGAUGUGGCUUUCAGAAACUCGUGGCACUGGUUUCAGUUUGGAUAGCAAGAACUCAGCUGAAGCCAGGUGUUCCUCUCCUUCAAGAACACCCAGGAGAGAGAGGGCCAAAAUCUAGGUUUCUCCGUUUGAAUUUGAGGCACCAUGGAGGUUUUAGGGGAAACAAUCUCAUGGAUAGAAAAGAACCAUUUAUACGAGCCACAUGGGAGAGGGGGGACUGUGGAUCCCACACUGAUCUAUGGCCCAGUUUAAGCCAUUACCAUGUGUUCAUCAGUCCUUAGUAAAAGCCUAACUACAAGGAUGUUGGUAGAGCAUCCAUGGGAAGGAAAGUCAUGUGUUAAAAUAGAAUUUCUUACAGAAGCGGUGACGAGGCUGCAGUGGUUUCUUUCCUACCCUGAUAUGUCAAAAUGACACAUUUUUUGAGGGAUUCAUUACUUCUCCACAGAAUUCUAAAAUUUGGGACCCUCAAACACAGAUGGCCCCAAACAGCUAAUAAUCUUUAGGUAUCCAUUUAAACAUUUUUAUUAAUCGACACAUGCUAGUUGUAUGUAUGGGAAUUUGACGCAUUCAUGUAGUGUGAUCACAUCAGGGUGAUUAGCAUUUUUGUGCGGGAACUUUUAGCUCCUGUUUCACUAUUUCAGCAUACAUAAUAAAUUAUUAUAAAUGAUAGUUACCCUACUAUGCUAUAAGAUGCUAAAAUAUUCUUCCUGUCUAACUGUAUUUCUAUACCUAUUAUCUCCUUUCCUCUCUCUUCUCACUUAGCAUUUGUCUUUGUGUGUCUUAUUUCACUUAACAUAAUGUCCUCCAGUUUCAUCCAUGGUGUCCAGAAUGACAGGAUUUCAUUUUUGCAUGUUGGCUUUGGGGGGCUUAUGUUUUUCUAAGAAUAGUAGGGUAUUUUCUUUCUUUUUUCUGUCAGUUUUAAGGCGUUUUUAGAGGAAAGAUCCAUAUUUAAAGCUUUACUCACUGAUCCAGCCAACACAAGCAUGCUGGGCGCUAUGCUAAGCAUUAGAGAAGAGUCAGUACCAAAUCUCGUGCCUCUCAGCCUGCACUAACCUUGCAUAUUUUCUGAUUUGUCCCUUUAGAUCAGAAGUAGUCCUGCGGGGCUGUGUGGACAGUAACUGAUUUUAUCACAUCAGUUAGGAAAUGAUGGGCCAUUGUAGAAUGAUAACACAUGGGUGUGUGAGGUUUUGUAAGACUUGGUAUGCCAGAUUUUUAAGAUUCACAGCCUUUAUGUAUUUAACCCUGAAAUGUGUGCUUGCUAGUAUGUCUGGCUUGCACUGCAUUACAGAUUAGGACAUGGUUCUGUGACUGUACCUAUAUCUGUAGAGGGGACAGAUCAUUGGAGCAAAGGUAUGAAGUACCUCUGUGGUACUAGGCAUUAAUACGUGCUAGUGAAUGCUGUUGGAAUUGAAGGGAAUUUUGAGACCUAUUAACUGACAGUGGAAUGAUGAUCCUUUCAGAUGAUUAGAAGUGGAAGGUUUAGCUUGAAACUACAGAUUCAACGCAGCUGUUGUGUAAGUGAACAGACCCUGUGCAGGGAAUCCAGGGACACCUAUAAAAGUGACAUUGGCUAGUAGAAUUUCAUUGUGUUUCCUUUGACAGUUCUCUCAGUAUCUGUCUGAUGGGCAGGCCCCAUAUAGGAGGGGCGCGUGUGUGUGUGUGUGUGUGUGUGUGUGUGAAGUGUGAAUGAUGGUAAUUCCAUGUUUCCCUGAAAAUAACCCUAAAAUAAACUCUGGUCAUUACCAUGUUGAUGAUGUGUCAUGCAGAAAAUUGUGCCUCACUAUUCUCUUGCUCAGUGGCUACUUCGUAAUGGCAAGUAAGGCAAGAGGAUUGGAACUGGAAUUUUUGUUCUCUAGUUCACAAGGCUGCUUAUUUUCCAGUUAGGUCUUCUUUUCUGGGAAACGGUUCCCAGAAAGUUGUGGCACUCUGUGGUGUAAAGGACACAUCGAGGCUUAUCUGUAACCAUAGACUCAACUUCCUGUACAUACAGGCAUCCUUGGCGCAGGAGAGGAGGGAAGGAGAUGAUGUGAGGAUGUCCAGCUCCAGCUCAGUGCUGCAGUCCCACCACCUUCACAAGCUGUUGGAGGGGCUGUGGGAAAGGAGGGAACAGAAGGCUGCCUUUCUGGCCUGAGGUACAUGAUGCCUGCCCUUCUGGGCCCCACAGUGACACAGGAUUACAGCUCCUGAUUUUGGGGAGCUUUGGUCUGAUGCAAGCCUGAUAACCUUCAAGUAGCCAAAACCAUGCACUUUUCAUGUAGCUGAAGUUAAAAGGGCAACAGGUGAUUUGUAAAGAGUAUGCGCAGACCAGGGCCUUGGAAGCUUGGCAGGAUGGGACUGAAACUUUGGAAGCCCUUUACACUUCAUGGAAUGGAAAGUAUUUUCUUCUACUGUCCUGGCCCAGGAAGUAUAAGAUGGCCUCUGGAGCUGCUACUUCCCUCCUCUCUAGCCUCCUGGCCAACAGUUUGAAGAGGUCCUCUUAGACCUGCCAGUGUGAGUGGGAAUAAGGUGACAGUGGAGGUUUUGUAGCUGAGCCCAGCAAGCCGAAGGAAGCUGCUGACCUGCGUACACUAGCCUCUGGACCUGGAAGUAAACUGCUGAUGUGGCACAUCCCAGCUUUCACAGCUCCUGAACCUGUUGAAGUCAAGUAGAUGACUUGAGGAGCAAGCCUUCCCACUGCUUAAAAAAAUUCCCCCUCCAGGAUCUCUUCCCCGACUGACUGGGAGAGCACCUCGUCUUGCAGCACAGUGAUCUUGGUUCCCACUAGACUGAUCUCUCCUAUGAGGAGUAACUAGGUCUCGUUCACUGUUUUGCAUCUCAAGAACCCAACACAAUUCCCAGCAUAGCCCUCCGUGAGUGCUGGUGGUUGACUGAAUGAACGUCUUCCCACUUCUGGAUUGUUAGUGACCUAGCUUUCGAUGUUGUGGUCUAUUUUUACCACCCCAGUGAGACUGUUUGCUUCAGGAGGGCAGGGAUGGCACUCCAACUUUUAAUAAGCCUGGAACCCAAGUACACAUGAGGCAGUGAGUCAGUGUGUAUUGAAAGAAAAGAUGAAAGAAUGGAGCAGAAGAAUGGAGGGAAGGAGAGAGAAAAGGAAGGUAGAAAGGAUAGAAUAUUUUCAUCCAGAUUUAUAAUGAUGGUGGUUUGAGUCUAAUGAGAUUAAUAUCUUUCCCCGUAACCAACUCUGAGAACUGAUCUCAUUUGAGCAACUCCAACAGGUUUCAAUGCUUGUUUAGUCCAGAAAAAGGGGAGAUAAGUGAGACUGCAUUUUAGAAGUUUUAAAGUAGGUAUCUGAUGCACAGAUUUCUAAAUUACUGUUUUGAACACGAUUGUAAUAUGCGUAUCUGACUAAGUUAUUAUGACAUUUAAUUAUACUCCAUGAUUAAUUAGGAUAUUUUACUCCACGUAAUCCCUGUUGUAUCCUGUAUGGAUUAUAGAAGAGUUACAUACAGUGAAGUAUGCUUGCUGCUAGUGAACCAAGAACUUUUCCUAGUCUAGAAUCUAAGCAUUGCUUUUAAUGUGCGUUAGGAUGUGUGAAGUAUGUACCUAUGCCUGUCACAUGUGUGAUGCAUGUACUUAUGUCUGUAUAUGUGUGCUCAGAUUUAUGAUUUUGUGGAUAUUACUGCUUAGGAUGACGGAAAAAGGUAACAGUCAUUAAUAUGUCUUUUAAAAUUUGGCUAAGUAAAACUAGUUGAUUUAGAAAAAAUAUUAAAUAAAUUGCAAUAUGGGUGGUGCAUAGAUGUGGGAGAAACCGUGGAGGAGGUAUGUGGACUCGGAAGGGCUAGAAAACAGUAGAGGAAAGCAUAGACACUGCUGUCGCCCUGUUGGCAACUCCCAGCAUCCUCCUGGGAAAUGCAGACUCUGGGUGUAGGAUCCCUGGCCCUGUGUCAGCUAAGGGCAGGAAGGAGGCCACGAAGUGUGAGAGCUUGUCCAUCUCUCUGCCGAAGCACGCCCCUGGACAGGCCAGCCCAAGGCUCAGGAGCUGACCCAGAGCACCUUUGGAGGAGGGCAGCAGCAUGCUGUGAAGUUGGCAGCGUCUCCUCGGAGCCCCUGAGCGUUCCUACAGUGACCUCAGCCUCUUCUGUUCUGCCUCCAGCUCAUUCUUAGAAAAGGCUCCUGGGCUCUGAGAAAAUUCUGAUGAACUUAAUUGGUGUCAGGAAAAUUGAAAUGGAAGCCGAUUGCCAACUGUGGGACCAUGUGAUGUUACCUAAUCUUUGUUAACCUAUGUAUUCAUGUGUGAAAGAGGUUUGAUUCAUUACAUUUUGAUGAUGUUAUGAGGAUUAAACAGGCUCUGUUAUGUGAGAAAGCUACUGGAAACAAAAAAACUCGGUGUUUGAUUAAACUUCAAAGAAAGAUUGUUUUCUUAGGGUGUGGAAAGCGAUGGCAGUUCAGGGUAGAUCUCCACCCCAGGAGCACACAGUGUGUAAGGGUCAGAAUUAUAGCUGAAAGCAUGAAUGAAGCUUCAUGUCGCAUGUUGGGGUGGGAGGCUGGGGAUUGUCUCUGAUGGAUUUGUCUUCUCUUUGCUUAUGUUGUAUUGGGGGUCUGGCUAGUCUCGUCUGUUUUGUUCAGUUCUUUCCCACUUUCUUCUCUGAGUCUCAGUGCUGUUAUUGCCAAUGACAACAAUAUCUGUUGUUGAGCACAUGUGAUGUGCUAAGCACCAUGUUCAGUGCUCCCCGUGUGUCACUUCAUUUGUGUAUCACUACACUCUCUGGUGCUUUGUCUACAUUUUAUAGAUGACAAGAGUGAGAUGUGAGGAACACAAAACACUUGCUGAGGUCACACACUCGGAAGUAACUCCGCCAGGGCUGCAGGCAGGUGUUUUUGUUUGUUGCAGUUUGACUCCAAAACACAUGCUUUUAAACAGUUUUAAUGUCCAGUCUCACGAUUCUGUAUCAAUGUCAGCAUCAUAAAGUAUUUCCUGAGAGCAUUUAGUUGUCAAUAAGAGAGACAAAACAGAUGAAACCCUCCUCUCCCCGUGGAACAGGCAUUCUCACUGAAUGGCUCAAGGACUGAUUUUAUGCCUUGCUGGGCAGCUUGCCCCACACUGUCCGUCUUACUUUCCAUAUUUAUACAAGAGUGGACUGGGAUAGCUGAUCUCCAGAUUGGGUCCCUUCAGCAGGAGAUGCUUAGGCUUCGUGAUACCUGCUCAGCCUUGGAUGGGAAGGUGGUUCUCAGCCAAGCCAUAUAUAAUUUCUCCCAUGAAACUUCUUCUGACAAUAGGUUAUGAGUCCCUUUUCUGUGGCCCUUGUUAUUCUGAGCUUAACUUUUAAAAAAAGUACAAAACUCCUCACUUUCCAGAUUAUGUUUACAUUAUGUGUUACGUGUCCAUCUCCCUUGCUGGUCUAAAAACUCACUGAGGAUAGGACCGAAGCUCGUUUAUCAUGAACCUCUAGCACUUAGCUCAGUGUCCAUCAAAUGGUGGUCCCUGUAAGUGUAGGCUACAUAAACGCAGGGGGGAGCGUCCUAUCCAAGGUGACUGUACCCAGUUAGGAUUAGGUGACCAGGUUUUUGAGAGAAGAGGGAGAAGCUGAGAAAAGUGAUAAUUACAGGAGAUGCUUGGCAUUUACACUCCUAGGAGGAGGCUGUUCUUUUACUGGAGGAUGAGCUUGUCCUGAGGAGAAGGCCAUCCAGUCCAACCUGGGAGCCCUUGGUGGCACAACCAUCACUAUCAUCAUUGGAGGGAGUGCUGGUUGUGGUCAGGGCACAUAGAUGCCACACUUUUAAGCCGCAUCCUUACUCAGCAUAGUGUCACACCUGGAAACCAAAUAAAACCCAGAGGAAGGCAUGGAGGAAGGAAUAAGAGCAGGCUGACCUUACUUGCUGCUCCCACUGUGCUUAAUCCCUAGUCAAUUAAAUAUGAGACAGUGCAGGUAAUUCAGCCAAGACCUUGGGUGAUGGAUAUGGAAUUAAUCUGCUUUGAGUCCAAAUUACCUGUUUUUGCUGGAAUGAGUUUCAGAAAUGCCACUGAGUUCUGGGGAGGCCAUAAAUGUUGUGAUUACUGUGUGCUUAGACAGACUGUUGUAGACACACUGAUUUAAAAAAAAAAAAAUUGCUUUGUUUUCUGAGCCUAGUUGCGUACUUUGUGGCAUGGCAGGCCAAAUGUCCCUUGGCAGGGAGGGCUCAGGUCCGUGGGAGUGCUGGGGUGGGUAUGACCAGUGGAGCCUUGCCACCUCCCCUGGAAUGCAGCUCACACUCCUCCUUGAUGGCCUUCCCAUGAAGGACAGGCCUGCGCAAAGCUUUCUGAGGUUGGUGAAGAGAGCUUACUUUGGUGCUUACUUGGGAGCUUUGGCGCUUUGGAGCUUACUUACUCCCCUCUCAUUGUUCCUUCAAGUGCAGGCAGGAAGUUACCAUCCUGCAGAAAUCCAAAAUGGAAUAGACAUGGAAGGAUGAGAUUCAGAACAAAGUGCUGUGGGUGGGAAGGCGUAAGUGAAGUCCUGGAGGCCACCCAGCCUGGACAGUAUUGGUCUAUUUGCUGCCUUCAUUCUCACCUACUUUCUGUACUCUGCUCUCAGUCACCAGGUAACCACUUAGACCUAGAGUUGCUCUUUUUGCCCUCAACAUCUCUGUUUCCUUUAUUACCGAUGCCGUUGCCACCAUGUCUGUAUGACCAUUACUUUUAUUAUUACUGUACUCUAUUGCCAUCUCCUACAACAACAUCAUCUUGUCACUGUCCCCACUCCUACUGGUGUUGCUUCUGCUCAUUGUCGCUAUCAAUAGCAGUACCUCCAUCAGCCCCGUUACCUUCACCGCUGCCACCACCAGCACUGCCGUGGUCACAAGGACUACCAAAGACCCCUUCACUCAUUCUCACCAUUCUUACCAUCACGGCCUCCUCCACCACCACUACCACCUUCACCACAUUACUACCAUGAUCCAUUCUUAUCAUUACCACUGCUUCCACCACCACCAGCAUCCCUGUCACCAGUCAUUCUCAGCACUACCACUACCACAGCUAGAAUGGUGAAGAAAAGACUUAGGCCUAUAUUGCCCUCUUCACGUGAUGAAAGGGCUUCAGAGGAGUGGUUAAAUUACUUUGUAUUAAUAAAGAAGUUAGAAAAGGGGGCGGAAAUUUAAAAGCAAUUAUUACAUUUGAGUCAAUAGAAGCAAUCUCUUUCAUGGCACUAGGGAGGACAGUGGGGCAAGUCUGGGGCUAAAUGAUGAGUUUAAUUUGAAGUAUGUGGAGGAAUUUUUGUUGUUCUUUUUGCUUAUGGGGAACAUCAGCUGCGAUGAGCUUUCACUCCAAUCAUCCAAUCUCUCGCUGGUGUCUGAAUCCCCUCUGUAGAAUCCUUUAGGAGUAGAAAUUAAAGCCACCUUGUGUGUGUGUGUGUGUGUGUGUGUGUGUGUGUCCUUAGCUCAUUUAAUCCAGAAGUAGUUGGUUCCUUAUAUUUUUAUUUCAUAAGCUUUUAAUAAUGCUAUAAUAAUGGAUUACAUUGUGUUUUAAAAAUUUAAGACUUUUAAGGUUAGGGCAAAAUUCUUUCUGGUGGCCAUUCCCAUUCCUUGCUUCUUUCUUUCUUUCUUUCUUUCCUUCCUUCCUCCCUUCCUUCCUUCCUUCUUUCCUUCUUUCUUUCUUUCUUUCUUGUACCGGGGAUCGAACUCGGGUCCUUGUGCUUGUGGGGCAGGUGACAGAACCACUAAGCUAAAUCCCCGGCGCCCCCAUUCCUUCCUUCUUUAACUCCUCCACACAGACAAACUGUAUAAUUUGAUGUGAUAUUUUUUGUAGAAUAUUUUCUCACCUUUUUGUGUAUAUUUAUAAACAAUGUGAUAUUGUGCCCUGUGUAGAUUUUACCUGAAUAGUAUAAUAUUUUUUUCUGCCUCUUGCUUUUUUUUCCACUCAACAACAAAUAGGCACAAUAUGGCUAAAAGGGUGGUUCCUGGCUCCUGAGUGCCUGGAUUUGGAUUUCAGAUUUGUCACUUACCAGUUGUGUAACACUAUUUAACCUCCUUCAGUCUUUGUAGAUGGGUAUUAUAGCAUGUUCAUAUCCACUGUUUUCCUGUGAGGAUUAAAUGAAUUAAUUUAUAUAGGCACUUAGAACCAUGCCUGAAUAUAAUAUUGGCAGGUAUACAGUCACAUUCUUACUCAGAUUAUUCCUUAGUAAUUUCUAGAUUGGACACCCCACAGUUUAUUUAGCUCUCCCUAAAUUAUAUGUAUAUAUGCAUAUAUAUAUAUAAUAUGUGUUAUAUAUAAUAUAUAUGUUAUGUGUAUACAUAUAGAUCUGCUGCUCUGAGUUUCACUCUUGCAAACAAGGCCCAAGCAUAUUUUAAAUCUUACACAUGUGACUGGUAGUUACUUAAAGGUAGAUAAGUAAAAUUGCUGCAUUGCAUUCCUUCAAAAGGUUUAUUAGAAAAACACAUUUAUAAUGAGUAGAUACCUGUUCCCUGUUUCUUCCACCUGUUGGUUUUAUUUCUACCCCUUGACAGUCUGAGCCACACAGCAAAUUUUGUGGCAGAUGACCUUAGUGGUCAGGGCUAAUCACCUUAGGUUCAGAUGAACUUUGAGGGUGCAGGGAUCACAUUUUGGGGCCCUACUACAUACUGGACCCUCUACUAAGCAUUUUUAUAUAAUAAUUAAUUCAGUCACUAUAUUGUAGAUUCCAUGACUAUCUCUAUUUUAUUCAUGAAGAAAUGAAGGACAAAAAAGACACACAACUUCAAGUGGUAUAAAGUUGUGAAUAUUGUCAGUCCUUGUAUCAUGUUUAGUAUAUUAGUAUUCUCAUCACAUAGAAAACAUUCAACAAAUGUCAGUGUUAUUCCAGGAAUGACUGGUAAUUAUUAGGGUUAUAGAAUUGUUAUUAUUCCCACCAUCUCUGUUAUCCCCACAUUGUGAUGGAGCUCAUCUCUGAGAUAUGCAUUUGGUUUAUCUUAGAAAAAUGGAAAUGAAACCGUGGUUUCAAACCCUGCUUAACAAAUCUGCAGUAUUUGUUCUAUAGCUACAAAACACAUUCUUAAACUUUAAAGGACCUGCUGGCCAACUACGUAAUACGUUCAGUGUUCUCUCACACAUAAGAUAAAUGAAUAUGUACUUGAAUGCAAAUGAAAAUAUAUAAACAUUCAUUUGUGAGGAAAAAGAAAUUGGUAGAUGAGGGGUUGAGUUAUCUGGAUGUCCAGGAAAUAGGUUAAAGGAGAAAGGCUUGGAUCUGAGACUGGAUGAGAGUUUGAGAUGGUAGUCCUGGAGGUAGACUGGAAAGGAAUGUCCUUUUGAUUCAAAAAAAUGUGCUGGAGUAAGACAGACAGACAGCCUUCAUUGAUUCAUUGUGACAGAAGCUGGAGAUACAAAGAUGAGGAAGACGUAGCCCCUGACCCAAGGAACUCUCCUUGUGCUGUGGAGAGAUGUCGGUGUAAAUGAAGGUGGUAAGACAAGAUGAUGUUCAUGAACACACUCUGGGAGUGCUAGAAAAGUGAGAAGGGGCACCAAGGGCUUCUUCCUUCUGUGGAGAUGAAUGCUUAAGUCAGAAUCCUUUAAAAUAUGUAAGAGGGCCAGAACAGGCCAGGGAGGAGUGAGGAGAGGGGAGAGCGUGUACACAGGUGUGGGGUGGCACUGGGCACCUGUACAGCAUCGUAUGGAUUUAGAAGGAUGGCAGGGAAGAAUGAGAAAGGUAGCAUUGCAAAGGGACCUAGAAGCCACGUUAAGGAGUUUUGACUUUUAUUUUCAAGAAUGUAGGUAACCAGCAAAGGUUUUUAGAUUAUGAAAAAAAGCACGGUUAUAUCUUAACUUUAUAAGCUUACUUCUUGUAAAGUUCUUUAAAUGCUUAUGCUCCCAGAAAGGGCCGAGCUGCUCUGAGGUCAGUGCAGGCCUUGUGGAGACAGAGCACAACCAGGAUCAGCUGGAGCUGGCAGGUGCUGGCAGUGACCUUAGGAAGGUAGAUCUUGGUAAUGAUGACUGAGUUUGACUGGUUACAUUGGGCUGCCUGGCCAUGUCAGGUGGAACAAAUAAAUCAUUGAAUUCUUUAGCUCUGACCAGAUGUCUCAGAGUUAUUUCAUGUCAUUCUUAAAAUAACUUGUAAGUUAGGGAUUGUGGUCACUCCCAACCUUCAGCUGAGUCAAUAAGCACGAUGAGGGACUUGAACACAUAAUGUGUAGGUGCUAGCAGGUCCAUUUGGGCUCCUGCAUGCUCCAAGGCCCUUUUGCCAUAUUGCAGUUGUCUUCGGAAGGCAGAGAGAAGUGAGACCCAAGUUCCUCCUGCCUUGGUGGAGCAUUGCUUUGCAUAGCUGUGGAAAGCAGAGCGCCCAGCAAGCAUGCAUUUGCUCAGUGCUCAGAGAGGUCUCAUUCUCUGUCUCCAUUGUGCCUGGGGCCUGAGGGCUGAGCAGGUACUCUGUUGACCUGCCCCCCCAGGGUGGAGGGAGCUGUUGAGGCCUCUGGCAGGUUUGCAGGGGCACUAGGGGCUUCCUGCUUUCAUCACAAGGGAAAGGCUAGGUCAGCACAAAUUCUGCAGAAGCUGCUCCCUCCCAGGGCAGGCCUGAUGCUGCCCAGGGAGCUCGGCAGUACAGUUUGGCAACCUGGCCCCCUCUGGUGCUGCCUUUCUUUCUGACAAGAAAAAUAGAUUUCUUAACUGCUGGCUUGUGAGAACAAGUGGGUGGGUGGGGCUGUGGUGUAAUAGGGUAUAGCCCCAUCUGACCCUUCAUGGCUUCUUGCCACAUCGGGGCCUUGGUUCUUCGGAACUCUGAGGCAUCUACAACUUGUGAGUUCAGGACAGUGGGUCACCCUAGGGUUCCUGAGAUCCACAUUUUAAUUCUUUGAUUCUUCAGAUACUUCCAUUUACCCCUUAGCAUGUGUCAGCCACUUUAUAAUCAGGACCUGGUUUUAUCUCUAUAAUAAUCCGGAGAAGGUGCUAAUACCUUCAUUUUACAGGUGGAAAUCUGUGAUCUCCAUUGCCAUUCAUGUCCAUUUGAUGCCGUGUUUACUGCCACUCAGUGGGGACAGACAGACACUGCUCUGGACAUGUCACAAGCACCUGUGACAGAGCCCUCCUCACAGGCUGCUGCCAGCAGCAAGUUGGGAUAAUGGUCAUGAAUGCAUUUGGUAGACUAUAAAGUGCCGUGCUCUUCUAGAAACCAGCAUCCCAGCAGGAGUAAAGGCUCAGCACACUGCAAAAGUUGAGUAACACUGCCCCAUGUGGGCAGAAAGCUAAGACCACCAUACUUGGCAGCCCGGUGGUAGGUCCUCUCAGCUCUCCACAUGUACCUGGUGCUCCUAAGGUCAGACAGCGCAUACUGAUGCCCGGCUUUAAUUGCUUCCCAUCACCCACCACUGCAGAUAUAUUCCAGCUCUUUCUAGCCUGGGGCUGGAGGACACUUAGCAGAGCAAGGUCGGAUUCCUGUUAGCCCCUCAACCUGGGCUGGGCCAAGGGAGCAUUCUCAUCCUCUUGGUCCUGGAUCCCUGUUUGUCUAGAUUAACGCUCAAAGGCUGACAAGCACAAAUAGGUGGAGAAUGUUGGAUGGACUUCACCAAAUAGCUCUUAUAUUAAUUUAUAUUUGUGUUGAGCUCUCUCCUCCUGUUCCCUCAAAGGGCUCAGUCAAGAAUCUCUUACUGUGUUAUAUUUCAUUUAUUUAGUUGAUUAUCAAAGAGUAUGUAUGUUACAAAGUAUAUCAGAAAUCAGAGCUGAGGAAAGGAAGAUAGAUCAGAUAUGAGAAUCAAAAUGACACGUUUGUUUCACAUAUUAAUCACCUUGGUUUAAACAUUCCACAAAGUAUACAAAUAUCAAGACACCAUAUUUUGUACUACCCAUAUUACAGUUUUGUCAAUCAAAAGUAAAAAUAGGAUAAAGUAGUGUAGAAAAGGCUUAAACAUGUCCAAAGGACAAGUUUUGUUCUUUAACUCUUUUCUUUCAG
rnacentral:lncRNA from 1 species